rnacentral:rRNA from 1 species
GAUGAACGCUGGCGGCGUGCCUAAUACAUGCAAGUCGAGCGAACGGACGAGAAGCUUGCUUCUCUGAUGUUAGCGGCGGACGGGUGAGUAACACGUGGAUAACCUACCUAUAAGACUGGGAUAACUUCGGGAAACCGUAGCUAAUACCGGAUAAUAUUUUGAACCGCAUGGUUCAAAAGUGAAAGACGGUCUUGCUGUCACUUAUAGAUGGAUCCGCGCUGCAUUAGCUAGUUGGUAAGGUAACGGCUUACCAAGGCAACGAUGCAUAGCCGACCUGAGAGGGUGAUCGGCCACACUGGAACUGAGACACGGUCCAGACUCCUACGAGAGGCAGCAGUAGGGAAUCUUCCGCAAUGGGCGAAAGCCUGACGGAGCAACGCCGCGUGAGUGAUGAAGGUCUUCGGAUCGUAAAACUCUGUUAUUAGGGAAGAACAUAUGUGUGAGUAACUGUGCACAUCUUGACGGUACCUAAUCAGAAAGCCACGGCUAACUACGUG